UUACGGCAUUAUAAGCGUUGAAACAUCAUUUCCCGUACGAUCGCCGAAUUUAAGCAACGUCGGGCCUGGUCAGUACCUAGACGGAUGACCGCUUGGGAAUACCAGGGGCUGUAAG